UACGGGGGGGGGCAAGCGUUGUUCGGAAUUACUGGGCGUAAAGGGCUCGUAGGCGGCCAACUAAGUCGGACGUGAAAUCCCCAGGCUCAACCUGGGAACUGCGUCUGAUACUGGAUGGCUUGAAUCCGGGAGAGGGAUGCAGAAUUCCAGGUGUAGCGGUGAAAUGCGUAGAUAUCUGGAGGAAUACCGGUGGCGAAGGCGGCAUCCUGGACCGGCAUUGACGCUGAGGAGCGAAAGCCAGGGGAGCAAACAGG
rnacentral:rRNA from 1 species